UACGGAGGGUGCAAGCGUUGUCCGGAUUCAUUGGGUUUAAAGGGUGCGCAGGCGGGACAUUAAGUCAGGGGUAAAAGACGGUUGCUCAACAAUCGCAGUGCCUUUGAUACUGGUGUUCUUGGGUGACCUUGAGGUAGGCGGAAUGGGUGGUGUAGCGGUGAAAUGCAUAGAUACCACCCAGAACUCCGAUUGCGAAGGCAGCCUACUGGAGGCUUACCGACGCUCAGGCACGAAAGCGUGGGGAUCAAACAGG
rnacentral:rRNA from 1 species